rnacentral:rRNA from 1 species
AUGUCUACCUGCCUCACUGAUAUGAUCAAUGCCAAUAAUGUUGAUUUUAUUGGUCUUCAAGAGACUAUGAAAAAGUCCUAUAAACCUUCCUUUUUUAAGAAGUUGGAUUCUGGACAAAAAAAUUAUUGGGAAUGGAUUCCCUCUCGAGGCAAAUCUGGAGGCAUUCUAUGUGGUGUUAAUAAGGACAAGUUUGAUCUUAUUGCUAUUAAAUAUGGAAAAUAUAUCAUUCAAUUAUACCUUUUGGAUAAAAACAUGAAAUGUUGCUGGUCCUUGAUGGUAGUAUAUGGAGCAGCCCAUGAUGAGAGUAAGCCCAAGUUUAUUGCUGAAUUAUCUCAUAUGUGUCAUGCCACUCAGAUCCCUUACUUAGUGGGUGGGGAUUUUAAUAUUCUUCGUCACAGCGGUGGGAAGAAUAAAAAGACGCCCAUGUCUCAUUUCUCGGAUGUUUUUAAUUCUGUCAUCCACUUGCUUGGGCCUAGGGAGAUCUGCAUGUCUGGAGGGGUGUACACGUGGUCGAACAAGCAGGAGAACCCCACUCUGGAGAAGCUGGAUAGAGUUUUAAUGUCACCUGAAUGGGAGGACUUAUAUCCUCUUGUCUCGGUUAACUAAUUAGUUAAGGACCUAUCUGAUCACAAUCCCCUGUUGUUGGAUGGGGGAGGGUUGCAGGUAGAGCACCAGGGAAUAGGUGCUUUAGAUUUGAUAAUAAAUGGCUGA